AAAAAAAAAAAAAUUCAUGUAGGACAUAAAAGUAACAUAAAUAUCAUACUUAAGAAAGUCAGAUUGCAACCAUCUCCAUUUGGAAGCGAACCAUGACUAUGCUUCUCAAUCAUUCUUGGUUGGAGGUGAUCUAUGAUUAUUAAUUACUGGCUAAGAACAACCAUUCCUUUUAGCCUUUGAUUAAAAGAUCAUGGUCAAAAACUUUUCAUUUGGACGCCAUAAAUCAUCAGUCAGGAUAUCAGUUGAGAACAUGAACACCAAAC
rnacentral:misc_RNA from 1 species